UUUGAUUUGAUUGGGGCUGAAACAUACAGAGAGAAUGUCUUCGAAUUCGGCAUCCUCCUCCGAUCUUCUCACCCAGGUGAGAAGCCAUGAAGUUGCUAUUGCAGAGCUCAAUAAUAUUUCUUCUUCUCGGGCUGUCUACCAGAGAAAAGGGAACAUAUUUUUUCAAACAACCAUUCAGAAAGCGACCGUAUUUGAACAGAAGCAAUUGGAUACCGCAAAAGCUAGGCUGCAAAAGCUGAGUUCAUCAUGAUGUCAUCGAAUCCGUUCCCCGAUUGCCUCAAUUUUCCGGUUGUAAUGUUCGGAUGAAGAGGGAGGUGUCGUUGUAUGCUAUGAACAUGCUUAAAACAAAUUAACUGGUUAUGUUUUUUUUGUUUUAAGACCUGCAUUUGUUAUUCAAGGGUUAAUAUUGUCAUUGUUAUAAUUUGAUUGUGAA